rfam:Apaloderma vittatum contig46997, whole genome shotgun sequence.
GGCCGGUUAGCUCAGUCAGUAGAGUGUAGUGCUAAGAACGCUAAGGUCACGGGUUCAAUUCCCGUUUGGUCCC